UAUCUUGGACAAUGGGGGAAACCCUGACCCAGCCAUCCCGUGAGUAUGAUGAGGGNCUNNGGGUUNUNAAUUACUUUUCGCAGNNNNNAAAAGGCAUCCCCUCAUACGGGAUGCAACUGACGACAUCUGCAGAACAAGCACUGGCUAACUACCGUCCAGCAGCCGCGGUAAUACGUAGGGUUCAAGCGUUAAUCGGAAUUACUGGGCGUAAAGCGUGUGUAGGCGGUUCGGAAAGAAAGAUGUGAAAUCCCAGGGCUCAACCUUGGAACUGCAUUUUUAACUGCCGAGCUAGAGUAUGUCAGAGGGGGGUAGAAUUCCACGUGUAGCAGUGAAAUGCGUAGAUAUGUGGAGGAAUACCGAUGGCGAAGGCAGCCCCCUGGGAUAAUACUGACGCUCAGACACGAAAGCGUGGGGAGCAAACAG
rnacentral:rRNA from 1 species